rnacentral:rRNA from 1 species
AUGCGAUAAGUAGUGUGAAUUGCAGAAUUCCGUGAAUCAUCGAGUUCUUGAACGCACAUUGCGCCCCUUGGCAUUCCGAGGGGCAUGCCUGUCCGAGUGUCAUUAAAAUCCCUCAGGUUUGGAUUUAUCCACUUCCUGGUUUUGAGUGCGGAGCAUUGUUGAUGUUCUGAUUCGAAAUGAAAUGGCGCGAAUGGUUGUCGGUUCUGUGUAAUAAGUCUUAUCCUUCACAAAUCGAUAUGUCAUUUGUUGCUCUGCAUUAUGAUGCUCAUCCUUUCUUAUGACCUCGGAUCAGGUAAGGAUACCCGCUGAACUUAA